rnacentral:rRNA from 1 species
GAUGAACGCUAGCUACAGGCUUAACACAUGCAAGUCGAGGGGAAACGGCAUUAAGUGCUUGCACUUUUUGGACGUCGACCGGCGCACGGGUGAGUAACGCGUAUCCAACCUUCCCAUGACUAAGGGGUAACCUGCCGAAAGGCAGACUAAUACCUUAUGGUCUUCACUGACGGCAUCAGAUGUGAAGUAAAGAUUUAUCGGUUAUGGAUGGGGAUGCGUCUGAUUAGCUUGUUGGCGGGGUAACGGCCCACCAAGGCAACGAUCAGUAGGGGUUCUGAGAGGAAGGUCCCCCACAUUGGAACUGAGACACGGUCCAAACUCCUACGGGAGGCAGCAGUGAGGAAUAUUGGUCAAUGGGCGAGAGCCUGAACCAGCCAAGUAGCGUGCAGGAUGACGGCCCUAUGGGUUGUAAACUGCUUUUGUAUGGGGAUAAAGUCAAUCACGUGUGAUUGUUUGCAGGUACCAUACGAAUAAGGACCGGCUAAUUCCGUGCCAGCAGCCGCGGUAAUACGGAAGGUCCCGGCGUUAUCCGGAUUUAUUGGGUUUAAAGGGAGCGUAGGCUGGAGAUUAAGUGUGUUGUGAAAUGUAGACGCUCAACGUCUGACUUGCAGCGCAUACUGGUUUCCUUGAGUACGCACAACGUUGGCGGAAUUCGUCGUGUAGCGGUGAAAUGCUUAGAUAUGACGAAGAACUCCGAUUGCGAAGGCAGCUGACGGGAGCGCAACUGACGCUGAAGCUCGAAGGUGCGGGUAUCGAACAGG